AGAGGCUCCUGUCGGCGGCGCCCGGGAGCGGCUCGGCUGCCCGAUGCUUCCGCCCCGGCUGCCGCGGGCCGGGCUGUACGCUUAGUGCCCGGCUCAGGCCCCCUGAAGCGCCUGCGGGGGUGAGAGCGGCCUCCGGCCCCGCGGAGACGGAGCGGCUUGAGGACGAGGCGGCGGCCGCGGGGAGGAGGAUGGGGGCUAACCAGUUAGUGGUGCUCAACGUGUACGACAUGGUGAGUGCGGCCCCUGGCGGCCCCGAGCCCUGGCCCAGGCCGGCUUCCUCUCGCCGGUCGGGCUCGGACCCCGGCCCCGGGCGCUUCCUGCCUCGCGUCUCCGCCUCCAGCCUAGUUCUCGGGGGAAGCCGGGGGUAAAGGAGGGAGUAUUGUUAUUUUUUAAUCCUGGCACUCGUCGACGCUCCGGUGAACCCAGUCAGCCCGAGGGUUUUGGCCAAAGCUCGGGUGGGCUUGAACCUCUCCCAUCCGCUCAGCUUGGCCCCGACCCCGGCUCUGGGCCCGACCCCUUGGCCGCCGUGCAGUGUCCUUUCGGCAAAGCUUCCGUUGCGUUUCCAACCCCACUUGCCGGCCCCCGGGGCUGCCCCAGGACCCCCGUCCCGACCGCCUGCGCUCCCAGCUCCUCUGCUUCUGCCGAACUGUACAUCUCUCUCCAUGGCUACGUCUUCAAAAACUCCCAAGCCCCUCUAAGUCCAGAAAGUCACAGCUUUCGGGUGCCUGUGCUAGAAUCUCUUCAAAGGUGAACAGGAGCCAACACACCCUUUCCUUGUGUGUUAAAGGCAGCCUCGUUAAAAUAUGAAUGAGGCUAACAUUUAUCAAGAAAAUAGCCCAGCUGAAUUAUUUAGAGAUCCUGGUGGUGCUCCUUUGCUACACUCUGAAGACCACUUUCCAGAUUGGGCUGCUGCGGAUCAUUUCUUUUCUUCCAUAACUCUGCCGUAUGCAUGAAAAUAAUUCUAUUGGGGUCACCAGUAUUAACUUCCUUCUCAUGGAAGAAGAGUGUGAUCCUCAGGAGGUUACUUAAUCAUGCAUAGUGUUCCUAUUGCUUGCUGCCUUCUCAGUGAUUAUGUUCCUCUGUGUACUUUGGAGUAAUCUACCACCAAUAAAAACGUCGUAGAGC
rnacentral:sRNA from 1 species